GACGAACGCUGGCGGCGUGCUUAACACAUGCAAGUCGAACGGAAAGGCCCUGCUUUUGUGGGGUUCUCGAGUGGCGAACGGGUGAGUAACACGUGAGUAACCUGCCCUUGACUUUGUGAUAACUUCAGGAAACUGGGGCUAAUACCGGAUAGGAGCUCCUGCUGCAUGGUGGGGGUUGGAAAGUUUCGGCUGUUGGGGAUGGACUCGCGGCUUAUCAGCUUGUUGGUGGGGUAGUGGCUUACCAAGGCUUUGACGGGUAGCCGGCCUGAGAGGGUGACCGGCCACAUUGGGACUGAGAUACGGCCCAGAAGCCUACGGGAGGCAGCAGUGGGGAAUAUUGCACAAUGGGCGGAAGCCUGAUGCAGCAACGCCGCGUGCGGGAUGACGGCCUUCGGGUUGUAAACAGCUUUCGACUGUGACGAAGCGUGAGUGACGGUAAUGGGUAAAGAAGCACCGGCUAACUACGUG
rnacentral:rRNA from 1 species